rnacentral:rRNA from 1 species
GUGGGGAAUAUUGGACAAUGGGCGAAAGCCUGAUCCAGCCAUGCCGCGUGAGUGAUGAAGGCCUUAGGGUUGUAAAGCUCUUUCAGUAGGGAAGAUAAUGACGGUACCUACAGAAGAAGCCCCGGCUAACUUCGUGCCAGCAGCCGCGGUAAUACGAAGGGGGCUAGCGUUGUUCGGAUUUACUGGGCGUAAAGCGCACGUAGGCGGAUUGGUCAGUUAGAGGUGAAAUCCUGGAGCUCAACUCCAGAACUGCCUUUAAUACUGCCAGUCUAGAGUCCAGAAGAGGUGAGUGGAACUCCUAGUGUAGAGGUGGAAUUCGUAGAUAUUAGGAAGAACACCAGUGGCGAAGGCGACUUUCUGGACGAAAACUGACGCUGAGGCGCGAAAGCCAGGGGAGCGAACGGGAUUAGAAACCCUGGUAGUCC